AACCAUAAGAAGUAUUCUGAAUGGCCGGAGGAUGACCGCAGCCCCUCUCCUGCCCGGUUCCUGUCCGCUUUCAGAUCUCCGCGCCGACGUCACCGACGCCACAGCGCCCCCUCCAGGCAGGGAGUCGCUCCGCAGCACAGCCGGUGUUGACGUGGAUGUCACUGCAGGCACCCAGGGUAUCCCUGUAGCAACUGAAAAUACCGUUUCCAGAAACAUCCGUCUUUCACACUCACUUCCGUGGACUCCCCCCAGCUCAUCUGAUCAUCUCAUCUCCAGCUUUCUUUUCUCCCUCCACUCGUGUGUGCCAGGUCCCAGGCACAAGACAAAAGGCGUGACUCACAGCACAGCGGGCGUCCGUGGCCAGGGAAGUGGCCCUUGUGAAGAUUGCUUCCCUAAUGCCUGAGAAUCGUUCCUCCGAGAUCUGUGGGAAGCUGAUAAUGGGUAUUACACUGAGUAUCACCAGUAGAAAUCUGGGUUUGAUCAAGAGCAUUUCCUUAAGCUAAAAAUGUCAUGUUUCCAGAGCUUGAUAUUUUAGUAGAUCAUGGUAAAAAAAAAAAAAAAAAAAAAGGAAAACUUGGAAAGACAAUAUGAAUGACUGUCACCCUUGAAUUUGUGUUGUCAUUUGAGUCCACUGGCUGAUUAUCCCGAUGGGUGUGGCUUGAGUCCUCUCACAAGCUCUGGGUUUUAGGGGUCCAACUUCCUUGCCUACAGGGUCACUGGCUGGGGGUCUUCCUCUAUGGGCAGGUGGUGAUGGGCCCAAAAGCUUGUUUAAAAGCCCACCCCCAGGGACCCCAGGUGGGGUUUGGAGUCUGCAUUUUUUACAAGCUCUGCAGGUGAUUCUGAGGAGGUGAUCUUCAGACUAAGUGUGGAGGAACACUGAUAACAUCUAGUUAACUGUUCAUAUUUAAAAAGAAGUUUGAGGCAGGGAAUGCAGCCCAAAUCCCACACUAGAGUGCCGGUUCCGCUCCUGAUUCCAGCUUCCGACUAAUGCAGAACCUGAGAGACAGCAGUGAUGACUCCAGUAGCUGGGUCUCUGCCACUGACAUAGGAGACCUGAAUUCAGUUUGCAGCUCCUAGUUUCUACCCAGGUGACCCUUUGGGAGUGAAAGAACCAAUGGAAGCCUGCUUGCAUUCUCUCUCUCUCUCUCUCUCUCUCUCUCUCUCUCUCUCUGCCUUUAUGCAAGUCAAAUAUAAUAAAUAAACUAACAAAUAAAAAGUCAUAUGAGUAGCACACAAAAUGAGUGUUGGUGAGCUUGCUAGCAGGGAUAGAGAAUAGGAUGACUGCUGAGGAUAACAGUAUGGCAGUUCCUCAAAAAGCUACAUAUAAAAUCACCGUAUUAUGCAGGAACCCCACUUCUGGGAAUAUAGCAGCAGAGCUGAACGCAGGGUCCUGAAGAGACAUUUGCACAGUUGUGUUCGCAGCAGCCUCAUUCACAACAGCCAAGAGGUGGAAGCAGGCAAGUGUCCACUGGCAGAUGAAUGCAUUAGCAACAUGUGACUUGUCUAUCCAAUGGACUAUGAUGCAGCUUUCCAAGUGAAGAAAAUGCUGACACAUACUAUAUUAUGGAUGGAUCUUGAGGACAUUAUGCCAAGUGAAAUAAGCUAGACACUCAGGGACCAAUGCUUCCACCUCCAUAUGGUCCCCAGGGUAGUCAGUAUCAUAAGGACAAAGCAGGCUGUCAGGGACUGGGGAGGAAAUGAGGAGUUGGUGUUUGAUGGGCGGGUGAACCAAGUUCUGUGAAUGGAUGGUAGUGAAGGUUGUACAGUGUGAGUGCCCCGAGUACCACUGACCUGGUCACCUACAGAGAAUUGAGAUGGUAAACCGGGACUGGGGUAAGCCACUGCUUCAGCAUCCCAUAGCAGAGUGCUGAUUCGCGUCUCAGCUGUUCCACUACUGAUCCGGCUUCCUGCUAAUGGCCCUGGGGAGGCAGGGGAAGAUGGCUCAACCGUUUGGGCCCCUACCACCCAUGUGAGAGCAGGAUGGAUUUCUUGGCUCCUGAGUUCACCCUGGACAAUGCCUGGCCAUUGCAGCCAUCUGGGGAGUGACCCAGUAGAUGGAAGAUUCUCUCUCUGUUUCUGCCCCCUUCCCCCGCCAGUCUGCCUUUCAAAAAAAUAAAUCUUUUUCUUCUUUUUUUAAUUUAAAUAAAUAGAAAAGAUUUCAUAUAAACCAUUUUAAGCCCAUAACAAUACUUCCCUCUCUCCCUCCUCCUUCCUGUCUUUCUUUUUUUCAUUUUCAUUUUUGCGAUAACAUGCUUUCAAUUCACUUUAUAGUCAUAGGCUUAACCCUCCACUAAAUAAAGAAUCCAACAAGUAGAAAAUAUAAAGAUGACUAUCCCACAGGAAUAUAGACAAGGGAUAUAAAGAACAAUCAAAUAUCAAGAUGUCAAUUUCACUCAUAUAUAUCACUUUUUUGUACUCUAUAGAUUAACUACAAAUAAAAGAAAACAUAUAUUAUUUGUCUUUUGGGAUCUAGCCUUUGUCACUAAGCAUAGUGGUCUCUAGUUACAUUUAGUUUGUUACGAAAGACAGAAUCUCAUUCUUUUUUAUGGUUGAGUAGCAUUCCAUGGAGUAUAUGUAGUACAUUUUCUUUAUCCAGUCAUCAGUUGAUGGACAUCUGGGUUGAUUCCACAUCUUGGCUGUUGUGAAUUGAGCUGCUAUUAAAAAAAAAUGGCAAGCUGCGUUACAUCUAUUUUACCACAGUUAAAAACAAUAAUUAAAGAAAUCCAAUACCCCUUAAAGGGAAAGGACAUUACACAAAGAAUAAACUUUAGCUCUUUCUGACAUUCUAAGUCAAAAUUCACAUAAGGCAUCCAAGAUUCAUAGAGAUUAAAAAGCUUGCUCAAGGUCAGACAGCUGACACAUGGUGUAACCAGGAGCCAAAUCUAAGGCGCUCCAUGUCUGUCCAAUGGCCCCAUCUGGCUCACUUCUGUUUGGAUGUGAGUAAUAACAGGAAGCGAGUGUCAAGAGGACUCUGGGGUUUAGUGUGUGAUUCACUGAAAGACAGGGCUUUAAUUUACAAAAGUGGGAACCCAUAGGAGGAUGUUACCAAGGAGGAAGAGAGAAAAGGAAGAGGCGGGGUUUUGGAUUUGUUCCUCGGAAGGGAAGAGAAUUGGCUGUUGGGAAGGCUGGCCUGGCCUGGCACACAGGUGUUGGGCUCAUCGGUGAAAGUGGAAGCAGAUGAUGGAGUCUAGGGUCACGGAUGGCUUCCAUAGCCUUGGCAGCCCAUGGCAAGAGCCUUGGGUGAUCACUGACAUCAUAAAUAAGAGUGUCAAUUGUUAAAUGAAAACAGAAUUUGUUCCCACAUAGGACCUCUGUCCUUAAUGAGUUAUACUAUGGGGGUUGACUGCAAAACUUGUUCUCAAACUGUACUUUAUAUGUUGUGUGGGGGGUGCAAACUGUUGAAAUCUUUGCUUAGCAUAGAGUUGGUCCUCUGCAUAUAAAGGUAAACUAAAAAUGAACCAUAGUGAAGAAUGGGAUGGGAGAG